rnacentral:rRNA from 1 species
GUUAGGAAUAUUGGACAAUGGGCGCAAGCCUGAUCCAGCCAUGCCGCGUGAACGAUGAAGGCCUUCGGGUUGUAAAGUUCUUUAGCCGAUGAUUAUAAUGACUGUAGUCGGAAAAUAAGCCCCGGCUAACUUCGUGCCAGCAGCCGCGGUAAUACGAAGGGGGCGAGCGUUAUUCGGAAUCACUGGGCGUAAAGCGUGCGUAGGCGGUCUCGUAAGUUAGGAGUGAAAGCCCAGGGCUCAACCUUGGAAUUGCUCUUAAAACUGCAAGGCUAGAAUCUCGGAGAGGAUAGCGGAAUUUCCAGUGUAGCAGUGAAAUGCGUAGAUAUUGGAAGGAACACCAGUGGCGUAAGCGGCUAUCUGGACGAGUAUUGACGCUGAGGCACGAAAGCGUGGGGAUCAAACAGGAUUAGAAACCCUAGUAGUCC